ensembl:lncRNA
GCCGGGCGUGCGAGCCUGAGGUGUGAGUGGGCCUGGGCUGCGGCGGGAGCGCCCUGCGGACCGACAGGAGAAAGUACCAGGUUUAGGCUAGGAACUUGGGAGAGGGCCGGGGUGUGGCUAAUGAAAACAGAACCAACCCCACGUAACCGGAGCUCAGGGACACGUUGUCUCCGAGUUCUUUUCCCAGUCAGUUGCUUCCUCGAUGUUCCUUUUACGUAGGAUUGUUGCUAAUGUGUGGCCUUUUAGAAGGGGCUACUUGAAGGUCUCCCCUGAAAAAUUCCCCAUGUUUUUACGUUCAGGGAACACAGUCUCAAGCUUGGGCGCUUGACGGGUGAAAAGUGAGAAACAGAUUUUAGGAGCCUGUUUAUCCUUCUUAGUUCUGCCUGGAACAUUUACCCCUUUGGGCUUCCGUUUCAAGUAGCGUUUAGAUUAAGAAAUGCAAACAUUGUCAGAUUAUAUACAAAGAUCAGACUUCUCUUUUUGCUGUUUUGAGUAACAGCCGCAAUAUCCCAUCUUGGCUUACAUUUUCAAAUGUGUGAUUUGGACGAUAGUGUGUUAAUAGUUUUAAACACAUUGCAAUAAAAGAGAAGACUGGAAAAGAACACUUCAACCCGAAAAACUGAAACCAGUCCUGAAGAGAAAAAAAUAAAUGCCAAUGAAGACUGCAAAAUAGUAAAAUCACAUGAAGGAAGGCAGUAAGAACCAAAUCUCACUGGGAUCCUCCUAGAAGAAAAUUUCACCUAAAGGAGAAAUGUUGAUGAUGUAAAUGGCAUAUUCUGAAGUCCUUGGAUUGUGAUGUGAUUGUCUGAAGCUAACACCUAGGGCAUCAAAGACUUAGCCAGGGGCUCCACUCCUGGGGCAUGGACAGAAACAAGACAUGUGGGCCACCUACUUAAAGCAUUAUAUGAGGCUAUCAGCACUGGAUUACAAACAAAGGAUCAAGAGUAAC